CAACAAAAAAAGGGUCAUGUGCAACAUUGCCCAGUUUUCACAAUUUGUUGUUAGGUCACUUUUUAAAUUUGAACAAAUUUGUGAUAUUAAUCAUUUGUAUGAAAGGUCAGAUUUGCAGAUUUGCUUAUACCUUCCAUGUGUCAUUCCAUGUAUGUUCAAAUGACACACCAAUAGAAUUGGUAGAACAUGAAAGAUCACGUUUUGUGGAGUCUGUGUCAGCUCUAUUGCCCACUCCCAUUAAAGCAAACUUUAUGACAUGAGGACCUUUAAGAUUUUGAAAUUCAUGUAAAUAUUCAUAAGAUUUUGCUUUUCCAAAGAUGUUACAGAAUGUGCAAUGGAAACCUUUCGGAGAAGUGACAAACAAAAGCAUAAUCUCAGUCUUAUGAAUUCAGUGCAUUUGGCAGACACCCUUAUCCAGAGUGACUUACAUUUAAUCUCAUUUUAUACGAUUGAGGGUUAAGGACCUUGCUCAGGGACCCAGUGGUGGCAGGGAUUUGAAAUCGAAACCUUCUGAUGAGUAGUCCACCAAUUUAACCACUAAGCUACCACAUCUCUACUGGAUGUCCCUGUAAGUCUGGAAAAAAAAUAUCUAUAAAUAAUUUUAUUCCAGUAAUUCUCUAAAGAGUUUGACAUCUGCAGAGGUAACUGCAGCAAAUCUGAAUAAAAAUGUAUAAAUUCUUGUUGCUUUAGGUAAGUGUGCUUUUCAACUUUUUUUUUGCUUUUCAAGUUGUUACACGCUGCAGUGAAAUCUGUAAUCAGUUCAGAUUGAACUCUGGACAGAUACCGUAGGUGUUAAAAUGUUUAAAUAGCCUAAUAAAUCGAUUUUUAGCCAUAAGAACCGACUGACCUAUUCAGCGGUAAUUUCAUAACUGGUGUUAUAGUGAACAGCGUUUAAUCAAAUGAAAAGACAACAUGCUCCUGUUUAAAUGCAUACAAGUGACAUUUACCUCAGGUGACUGGAUGACUUCAUUUCCUGUUGUAAACAUAUAAUUAUUUUAAGAAAUUUGGCAAUAAUGUUGUUUUUUCAAACAGAGAUGAAUCUAAGAGCUGGUGUGGAUGAGCUCAUCUGAGUGGUGAAAAAAAGAGAGCACUCUCACUCAGCUACAGGUGUCAGAGUGAUGAACAACACCUGGCACUGUUCCCUUCAGCAGGCUUGGCACUGAGAGUUAACCCCUGCCUAGGAAUCGAGCCCAGGCCACAGCGGCUGGUCAAUCUCAUCCACCACAGGCUUAAGGGAGAGGAUGAUGUCAUGCUGAGUGAGACUUUCAUUGCUGGAGGGAUUUAGUCAGGUUUCGGAACUUGACAGGCAGAUUGUGGGAAUGACUGAAAGAUAUGAUAAAGACAUCUUUUGGCUUAAGCUGCGACUAUGACAUCAGUGCAUGUACCGCUUCCCUGAGAAUGUGUCAUCAUCGACAUAUCACUAUUAGUCUAAACUACCAAAUGACUGAUGGUUCCUGCUUCUCAGGAAAAGGCUGACUUCUUAAGCUUCUGUUUGAAACCUUGUGAGAGAGACAGAUGUGGUUCCUGGUGCUUGUGUGCUUGCUUUUCCUAAUGUGAUUAUAGGACGGUUUCUUCCCCUUCCUGUAGGCAGUCUGAAUGACGGUCAGUGCAAAACUUAAAAAAUAACAAUCAAUGUACAGCAAAUAUCGAUUUGCUAUGAUCUCCCAAAAACAUGUGAGUAAACUGCCACAAGGUGUGAAUGAAUGUAAGAGCACAUAAUACCUUGUAAGACCCACCACAACUCUAACCAGAAUAAAGCGGUUCCUGAUGAA